AUGUAUGGAUGGAUGGAUAGAUGUAUGGAUGGAUGGGGGAUUUAAAUAAAACCAGUUUACAUGCAGUAUACAGUCUACAUUCAUGCCUUUAUUUGUGAUAUAUUUUUUUUAAUUUUCUGUCCUUCAGAUAGUAAAGAAUCCUUGGGCUCUUCCUGAUCUGAGUUUUCACACAACGAGAGCUGUAAAGACACCAGGGUCUGUUUCUGCAGGGCCACACUAUGAUGAGGAGCAGGGGUAAUUCUACUCACUGCUAUCAUUUUACAUAUCGACUCCAGUGUGGACCAUCCUCUGAGGCCUGAGUGGCUCCAUGCUAACCUCACUCAUCUCACCUGGUGCCCUGGGGUGGCUCCGUCCCUGCUGGAGAAUAACAGGAUUCUCAAAGAUAGUGUAUCUUCAGCUCCAGCUUCUCCACACCAGAACUUUAAAGCAACAACAGCAUAUGAUAAUUUCAUACCUCAGCAGGAGCCGCCUGCAGCGCUGAGAGGCAUCAGAAGCAGCAGCAUCAGCAUCAGCAGCAGAGG